rnacentral:tRNA from 1 species
GGCGCUGUAGCUCAGCUUGGUUAGAGCGCUGGUUUCAUAAGCCAGAAGUCGGGAGUUCAAAUCUCCCCAGCGCCA